GGAGACCUGGUUUAAUUGAUUUAUUCAGGGUGUGGGGGAGUUAUGGCCUAUACUGAAGGCCUCUAUAAACACCUCUGCUUUACUUUCAUCAAGGGGUUUGAAGAUCCUACCUGUAUGCUUUGCAACCAUACUUAAAGGUGUCUGCAUUCGGGGCAGAGUUUUCGUCGGAGGCUUGCAGAGAGUUAGGCUUCUCCAGCAACUUGCUCUGCAGCUCCUGUGAUCUUCUUGGACAGUUCAACUUGCUUCCGCUGGAUCCUGACUGUCGAGGAUGCUGUCAGGAAGAAGCACAAUUUGAAACUAAAAAGCUGUAUGCAGGAGCUAUUCUUGAAGUGUGUGGAUGAAAAUUGGGGAGGUUCCCUCAAGUCCAGGCUUUCGUCAGGAGUGAUAAACCCAAACUAUUCAGAGGACUACAAAUCAAGUAUGUUCGUGGUUCAGACCCUGUACUAAAGCUUUUGGACGACAAUGGGAACAUUGCUGAAGAACUAAGCAUCCUCAAAUGGAACACAGACAGUGUAGAAGAGUUCCUGAGUGAGAAGUUGGAACGCAUAUAAAAGUUGCUUAAAUUUUGUCCUAUCCUUUUGUUACCUUUGUAUCUAAUGAAAUAUUACAGCUCCUAGAAAAUAAUUUAGUUUUGCUUCCUUCCAUUGCUCAGUCUUUGCCUGUGGGGCAUUGAACAUCUGAUUAAAAGUUGAAGUGGCAGCACAGCCCAUGAUAUCUAAGGAGUUGGCAAGCUUAACAAACCUGUUUUUUAUAAAUUUCCAUUCUCCUACAUUUGUUGAUACCACUAACAAAAUGUUUGUAUUAGACUUGUGGUUAAUUAUGCAAAUGAAAGUUUGUGAUAAUUGGUCCAGUUUUACAAACAACAGAUUUUUAAAUUAGGGAGGUUAUUAAGGGAGAUGAUUGCUAUGCUUCCUGUGCUGUGUGCUCCUUGAAAGUAAUGACAGAAAACUACAAAGCAAGUAAGAUAUUCUAGCCUCCACAGAUUGCCUGCUCCUCCAAUCCGCUCAUAUUUUUGUAUUACCCAGCUUUCCUUUAAAUAGAAACGUUGUAGUUUAUAAUGAAUGCACUGCAUAAAAACUUUAUGGCUUCAUUAUUAUGAAACAGAUUCAAGAUCUACAGUAAGAGUGAAACAUUCACAAAGAUUCGCGUUAAUGAAGACUACACAGAAAACCUUUCUGAGGAUUUGUGUGGAUCUGAUAUCCGGCAAAUUUUUGUGCUUUACAUUCUUACAGAAAAGUCAAUUUAAAAAUAAAUCAUUUGUAAGACCAAAAUAUAAAUAAAAGGUUUUAAAAAUCUAUCUGAAUUUGAAAUUCUUCCUAUUUGUCCUUUCAUGUUUAAAAAUAUGUUUCUCAGUGUAUUUUUAUUUUUUAUUUUCAUAUAGGCCUUUUUUUCUUAUCAUAACUUCUUAUUGUGGGCAAUACUAUUUUGUAUUUGUCUAGCAAUUUUCUUAUUUCCAAAGUGCUCCCAUUUAUGAACACAUCUUUAUUGAUAACAUAUAAGAAAUGUCUUAAAAUAUAGAAUUUUUAUUAGUUAUUAAAAAUGAUUAUUUUUGCUUAAC
rnacentral:lncRNA from 1 species